rnacentral:misc_RNA from 1 species
UCCGGUUUGGCACCGGCAGUCUCCCAUGAGUCCCCGGCAUCACCCGCUGGCAACAUGGAAAAGGGGUUGCGCUCGUUGCGCCACUUAAGGCAACACCUCACGGCACGAGCUGACGACGGCCAUGCACCACCUGUGCAAGGCCCUUACGGACCCCGUAUCUCUACGAGAUUUCCCUGCAUGUCAAGCCCAGGUAAGGUUCUUCGCGUUGCAUCGAAUUAAGCCACAUGCUCCGCCGCUUGUGCGGGCCCCCGUCAAUUCCUUUGAGUUUUAGCCUUGCGGCCGUACUCCCCAGGCGGGGAACUUAAUGCGUUAGCUGCGGCACAGACCACGUGGAAUGUGGCCCACACCUAGUUCCCAACGUUUACGGCGUGGACUAC